UUCAGGGGCAUGUAUUGAACUUGAACACGGCCUGGUGAAUUGUGGAGCGGACCUCGCUAUUUUGUUUGUGGACACACUAGUUAAAGCCAAGUCUCCUUGCAACGAUGAAACUCUCGAUCGUAUCAGGGGUAUGUACAAAUUGUUUCCUCGUGUUCCCGUACCACCUCAUUUGGUAGACGUGAGCGACGAUGAAGAUGU